CGGCGAGUGAAGCGGCAAAAGCUCAAAUUUGAAAAUCUGGCGUCUUCGACGUNCNAGNNNNNAUUUGAAGAAGGCGACUUUGUAGCUGGUCCUUGUCUAUGUUCCUUGGAACAGGACGUCAUAGAGGGUGAGAAUCCCGUGUGGCGAGGAUCCCAGUUAUUUGUAAAGUGCUUUCGACGAGUCGAGUUGUUUGGGAAUGCAGCUCUAAGUGGGUGGUAAAUUCCAUCUAAAGCUAAAUAUUGGCGAGAGACCGAUAGCGAACNNGUACAGUGAUGGAAAGAUGAAAAGAACUUUGAAAAGAGAGUGAAAAAGU
rnacentral:rRNA from 1 species